GGAAUAUUGGACAAUGGGCGAAAGCCUGAUCCAGCCAUGCCGCGUGUGUGAAGAAGGUCUUCGGAUUGUAAAGCACUUUAAGUUGGGAGGAAGGGUAGUAACUUAAUACGUUGCUAUUUUGACGUUACCGACAGAAUAAGCACAGGCUAACUAUGUGCGAGCAGCCGCGGUAAUACAGAGGGUGCAAGCGUUAAUCGGAAUUACUGGGCGUGAAGCGCGCGUAGGUGGUUCAGUAAGUUGGAUGUGAAAUCCCCGGGCUCAACCUGGGAACUGCAUCCAAAACUGCUGAACUAGAGUACGGUAGAGGGUGGUGGAAUUUCCUGUGUAGCGGUGAAAUGCGUAGAUAUAGGAAGGAACACCAGUGGCGAAGGCGACCACCUGCACUGAUACUGACACUGAGGUGCGAAAGCGUGGGGAGCAAAC
rnacentral:rRNA from 1 species